GGCCUUCUCAGGCAGUUCUGCUUGGAGAUGAGCACAGCACGCUCUCUUGUACCUCUCCUCCCUGUUCCCAACUGUUACAAACACAGUGAAUAUUUAUUUGGUCCACAACUGGGGACAGUAGAAAGGACACCAGCUUGGAAUCAGUUCGGACCUGUGUCUGCUGCACAGCUGAAUCCCUGGGAAACUCUUUUAGUGUAGCAUGGCAGAAAGAACAAUGGCUAUGCCCACACAAAUACCUGCUGAUGGAGAUACAAUGGAGUUUCGCUCUUGUUAACCAGGCUGGAGUGCAAUGGCGCUAUCUCUGCUCACUGCAACCUCCACCUCCCAGGUUCAAGCAAUUCUCCUGCCUCAGCCUCCCAAGUAGCUGGGAUUAUAGGAGCCCACCACCAUGCCCAGCUAAUUUUGGAGGCUGAAAACUGGACAUCUUAUGUAGAACCAUAGAAACUGAGAUAAGUAGAUUUUAUGUCUGAAACUGACAUGCCUUUUCUUUUACCAGGCCUUUAGUACAGAGGUUUGUGUUUCUCUGAGUAAAGCUGGGCUUGAGAUUUGAUGUUGCUAUAGUGUGAUUCUUACUACCCUAUGGGCUUUUUUUGGCGGGGGAUAGAGUUUCACUCUUGUUGCCCAGGCUGGAGUGCAGUGGCACAAUCUCUGCUCAUUGCAACCUCUGCCUCCUGAGUUCAAGCGAUUCUCCUGCCUCAGCCUCCUGAGUAGCUGGGAUUAUAGGCAUGCGCCACCACGCCCGACUAAUUUUGUAUUUUUAGUGGAGAGGGAGUUUCUCCAUGUUGGUCAGACUGGUCUCAAACUCUCAACCUCAGGUGAUCUGCUCGCCUCUGCCUCCCAAAGUGCUGGGAUUACAGGCAUGAGCCACUGCGCCUGGCCUACCCUAUGGGCUUUGAAUGCCUCUGGUGAUACCUUGUGUUGAGGGUGGGGUUGGUUUGCCAGAGGAUGUUUUUCUGAUGAUGAUUUCACCCUCAACCUUAAGUCUUCCUUUUGUGCUAUGCCUCAGAAAGAGUAUGUCUCUUGCAAUAUCUCUUGCAAAGAAUAUGUAUCUUGACAGCAGUUAGCCUGGUGAUGAAGGUACGUGAGAAUACUUUUUUAUUUGAUUGCCAGUCUUAGGCAAACACUCUCCCUCUGGGCCCCAGGGAUUUGACCUUCUCUUUCUCUUCUUCUGACAUGGUUCUGAAUCCAUUGUGAAUUUCUGCACAUCUUCUAGGGCUUCAAGCUUUCUUUGUGUUCCCUACUUUCAGCAGCAAUGUGCUUUCACCAGCGCCCUAAGAGAGUGCUUCCUGGCUCUUCACCCAUAGAUGAAGGCUUUUUUAUUCUGUAGAGGAGAAAGUUGUGAGUGGAGCUUCUUGCCAGCAUUGCUGCUGUUGCAUGUCCCAGUUCUGUAACUUGAGAGAGAUAUUUUUUUUUCAGAGUCCUAUCAAUCUUUCACUGAAUGUCUAGUUGAGUUCAAGGAGAAAAAGUUUUCAAGGAGCUACAGAUUAUUUUUUGUUCUACAAAAAAGACACAGGUGGCCGGGCGCGGUGGCUCGCGCCUGUAAUCCCAGCACUUUGGGAGGCCGAGGCGGGCGGAUCACGAGG
rnacentral:lncRNA from 1 species